AAUCUAGAAAUUCACUUCAAAUAUGUAAGGAAAGCCCUGAAAAUGCCUUCACCUAGACAUCCAAAUAUCAUUGAAAAAAACCUCCUGGAGAAUAGAUCCAAAUGCUUCCAAAAGUGGAGUAGCCUGGCAAACGCCCACAACAUGGAAGGAAAAUAAGCGUAUCUCAUUCAAGCGAUAGCUGACCAGGACAGACUAAUGUGGGAAAAUUAAGCGCCUCAGAGACUUGUGCGAAAUAAAUAUUCAAUGACAAAUUACAAUAUAGCAGAUUACUGGAACUACUUUCAGAACGAGAUGGGGACCGAAAAGAUAUCCUUCAAAUUCAAGGCAAAAGUUGAAAUGCCCCAGCUUAAAAAUAGACCGCACCUCCAAACUAAAGGUAAUGCGUGCCCCCUAUGCAACGCGAGGGAAGCAGGACACCCAGCACAUCCUAGCAAGAUGCUAGAUACUGCAGGAAUUCCGAUUGGUUACCUUCGGCAGUACAGCGAUGACUGAAGACGAGUUGAUUAACUUAUUUAAUGGGAUUAACUGGAACUCGGUAGCAGCUUAUAUGGAGAGCGCCCAAAAAUAUAGAAAUUAAAUCAUAUUAUGUUGCCCUAUGGUCAUUGCAUUAAGUUUAUCAAAUGGUUAAAACCACCUAGUUAAAUUGUGCUCGUUCAAUGGCUACCGGCAAUUUGCCAAGCCAAUUUUAGGUCAAAAUAAACUACUAUAACUACCAUUA